GGACAAGGUUACAGAGGGGGACGAUAAAACUGAAAAUGAAAUGCGAUCUAAAGGUAACUUCACUUGAAUUAAGGAGGAAACAUCAUACCUGACUUGGUAUGAACAUUCUGAGAUCGAAUCUUCUACCGGGCUAAACUACUCAAGCUUCAAGCUCUCUGCUAUGGCCUGGGAAAGCAGUGGAAGAUGGCCCAAGUCCUUGGGCCCCUGUAUCCACAUGGAGACCCGGAAGAAGCUCCUGACUCCUGACUUCGGAUCAGCGCAGCUCCGGCCGUUGCAGCCAACUGGGGAGUGAACCAGCAGAUGGAAGACCUCUCUCUCUCCGCCUCUGCC